GACGAACGCUGGCGGCGUGCCUAAUACAUGCAAGUCGAACGCAGUGGGGACGGGUGAGUAACACGUGGGUAACCUCCCAUCAGAGGGGAUAACACUUGGAAACAGGUGCUAAACCGAUACUGAUGGAUGGACCCGCGGGGCAUGAGCUAGUUGGUGGGGUAACGGCUCACCAAGGCAACGAUGCAGAGCAGGCCUGAAGGGGUGUAAGGCCACACUGGGACUGAGACACGGCCCAGACUCCUACGGGAGGCAGCAGUAAGGAAUCUUCGGCAAUGGGCGAAAGUCUGACCGAGCAACGCCGCGUGAGUGAGGAAGGUUUUCGGAUCGUAAAGCUCUGUUGUAAGAGAAGCGGUAUCUUACCAGAAAGCCACGGCUAACUACAUGCCAGCAGCCGCGGUAAUAC
rnacentral:rRNA from 1 species